AUAAGAUGGGCCCGCGGCGCAUUAGCUAGUUGGUGAGGUAACGGCUCACCAAGGCGACGAUGCGUAGCCGACCUGAGAGGGUGAUCGGCCACACUGGGACUGAGACACGGCCCAGACUCCUACGGGAGGCAGCAGUAGGGAAUCUUCCACAAUGGGCGAAAGCCUGAUGGAGCAACGCCGCGUGAGUGAAGAAGGGUUUCGGAUCGUAAAACUCUGUUGUAAGGGAAGAACAAGUACAGUAGUAACUGGCUGUACCUUGACGGUACCUUAUUAGAAAGCCACGGCUAACUACGUGCCAGCAGCCGCGGUAAUACGUAGGUGG
rnacentral:rRNA from 1 species